ACUCCUACGGGAGGCAGCAGUAGGAAUUUUCCGCAAUGGACGAAAGUCUGACGGAGCAAUGCCGCGUGAGUGAUGAAGGUUUUCGAAUCGUAAAGCUCUGUUGUAAGGGAGAAUAGCAGUAGUAGGAAAUGACUACUGUGUGACGGUACCUUACCAGAAAGCCACGGCUAACUACGUGCCAGCAGCCGCGGUAAUACGUAGGUGGCAAGCGUUAUCCGGAAUUAUUGGGCGUAAAGCGCAUGUAGGCGGCUCUUUAAGUCUGAUGUGAAAGCCUGUGGCUCAACCACAGAAUUGCAUUGGAUACUGGAGAGCUAGAAUCUUGGAGAGGUAAGUGGAAUUUCAUNUGUAGCGGUGGAAUGCGUAGAUAUAUGAAGGAA
rnacentral:rRNA from 1 species